GACCACUGUGCCACAUCCCUAGCCCUACUUUGUAUGUUUUAUUUAGAAACAGGGUCUCACUGAGUUGCUUAGUGCCUUGCUUUUGCUGCAUCUGGCUUUGAACUCGAGAUUCUUCUGCCUCAACCUCCCAAGCCACUGGGACUAAAGGCAUGCACCAUCACACCUAGCUCAGAUAUCAUUUUUUUAAAUACAUACAAAGGACUUUCAUAUUUAUUACCUCAUUUUGCCUUUACAGAUACUAUAGGUGUUUACCCUUUUUUUCAGAUGGGAAACUGCACUCAGGUGGGGUUCAGAAUCAUGAAAUUUGUGAAAUUUUGUGUGUGUGUGUGUGGUAGUAGAGAUUGAACUCAGAGGGGCUUUUACCACUGAGCCACAUUCUCAGAACUAUUUUAAUUUUUAUUUUGUUUGUUAAAUUUUGAGACAGGGUCUCACUAGGUUGCUUAGGGCCUCACUAAGUUGCUGAGGCUGGCCUUGAACUUGCGACCCUCUUCCUCAGCCUCCUGAGCCACUGGAAUUACAGGGGUGUGUGCCUCCCCUAAGAUAAGAUUUGAACACAUAUUUUGUGUCUCCAAAUCUCCAUUCAGAUUUUAUAGUUAAUUAAAGAUAUCUAAAUUUUAUAUUCAACUUUCUGUUAAUAUCAUUUAUUCAUACAUUCAGUCAAAAUUUUGUUGAGGUACUACUAGGAUAGGUUAAAACACAUAUAGUUGCAACCCCCAAGAUGUUUCAUAUAGUGAAAACUGGUGGCCAAUAGAUCAGCAGUUUUAAUACUAUGUUUGGAGAUUGCCACAACUGGGUACCUUGUUUUGUUUAAUUUUUCGGUGCAUUUGAUAGAC
rnacentral:lncRNA from 1 species